AUAUCAUGUUCUCAUGAUGAACACUGGACUAAGAUUUAAACCUCCUGUGCUCUAAUUUUACUUGUACGUGAGAAGCUAUCUCAAAGAAAUACGAUAGAAGCUGAAAAUCCCGAUGUCACAAAGGAGGAAGCCAUUCCUUUAUUUGGAAAACCCGAGUCAGCGUAUUACUUUUAAAGCAAGGCUACCACCUAGUGGUCUUCAUUUAUAACGACUGGCUGCAGCUACAGAUUUUGCAAAAAGAUACCCACAUGAGGAAAAAUAACACUCACUUCUGCUUCUGCUUAUUGCUAACAGUAUCAGUCUUUGAACAAGCAAAGCUCAUGUAUAUUUCAACAGAAGAAAUUUUGAAUCAAACAAAGACUUAUUUGAAUUUAUGUAUAGCUGGCAUAACAGCUGCUGAAUAAUAUACAAAAUUGCAAUACAAUUGGUUUGUAGAAGCCAAAUUGUGGAGACGCUAACUGCUGGAGACGUGUCUUGUUAAUAGAGAAUCACAAACCCAGGAGUCUGUGUUACAGUCCCUCUGUUUGACAUGCAUGAGGUUACUGGGUACUGCUGUUUUCUGGCAGCAAUACUCUGACACAAAUAAGAAGCAUGGCAAACAGUUGAUUGUCUUCACUGAUGCUAAAGUUUGUUCAAUAUAGAUUUCUAGGAAGCAUCUGGAGUUUCCACACUGAAAAGACUAUUUUUGUGGCAUGUGCCAAGACACUGAAAGUAAUGCUGCCUCGGGGAAAGGAUCACAGAUGCUCCUUGAUUUCUCACUGAGGUCCUCUUUCAAAUAAACUCUCUUCUUUUAUCACAUCAGUUUAAUGUCCUGAAAUUUGCUACUCAGCUAGUGACCUUCUUCUAUUUCACAGAUAUUUUUGAAAAAAUGAGGACGAAUGAGAAAAGGAAUUGAGAAGAUUAUUGUUCAUAGCUUAAAGAUGAGAAAAC